AUUGAACGCUGGCGGCAGGCCUAACACAUGCAAGUCGAGCGGAUGAAGGGAGCUUGCUCCUGGAUUCAGCGGCGGACGGGUGAGUAAUGCCUAGGAAUCUGCCUGGUAGUGGGGGAUAACGUCCGGAAACGGGCGCUAAUACCGCAUACGUCCUGAGGGAGAAAGUGGGGGAUCUUCGGACCUCACGCUAUCAGAUGAGCCUAGGUCGGAUUAGCUAGUUGGUGGGGUAAAGGCCUACCAAGGCGACGAUCCGUAACUGGUCUGAGAGGAUGAUCAGUCACACUGGAACUGAGACACGGUCCAGACUCCUACGGGAGGCAGCAGUGGGGAAUAUUGGACAAUGGGCGAAAGCCUGAUCCAGCCAUGCCGCGUGGGUGAAGAAGGUCUUCGGAUUGUAAAGCACUUUAAGUUGGGAGGAAGGGCAGUAAGUUAAUACCUGGCUGUUUUGACGUUACCAACAGAAUAAGCACCGGCUAACUUCGU
rnacentral:rRNA from 1 species